rnacentral:rRNA from 1 species
GUGCCAGCAGCCGCGGUAAUACGUAGGUGGCAAGCGUUAUCCGGAAUUAUUGGGCGUAAAGCGCGCGUAGGCGGUUUCUUAAGUCUGAUGUGAAAGCCCCCGGCUCAACCGGGGAGGGUCAUUGGAAACUGGGGAACUUGAGUACAGAAGAGGAGAGUGGAAUUCCAUGUGUAGCGGUGAAAUGCGCAGAGAUAUGGAGGAACACCAGUGGCGAAGGCGGCUCUCUGGUCUGAAACUGACGCUGAGUGCGAAAGCGUGGGGAUCAAACAGGAUUAGAUACCCUGGUAGUCC